AAAGGUUUAUGGACGGCUGUUGUAAGAGGUAUAUGGAGCAUCGAAGCGCGGUUAUUUUUAAGCGAAGGUUCCAGAUGUGGAAGAAAUCCUUUCACACAGCGCAACUUAGAUCAUGUUUAGAUGAAACAUAGGGCUGGAUCCUUCUACUAUUCUUUCUUUGGCAUUUGAAUCUUGUCCAUUGCUUGAAAAGCUAUGCCUAGUGCGGGAAGGGGUUCUU
rnacentral:lncRNA from 1 species